rnacentral:rRNA from 1 species
UCACGAUACAAGGGCAAAAGGUGAAUGCCUUGGUGCCAAGAGGCGAUGAAGGACGUGGUAAGCUGCGAUAAGCCAUGGUGAGCCGCAAACAGGCGUUGACCCAUGGAUUUCCGAAUGGGGAAACCCUCCCGUUUUACGGGAACUGCCGGAUGAAUUCAUAGUCCGUCAGAGCGAGACGAGGUGAAGUGAAACAUCUCAGUAACCUCAGGAAAAGAAAACGACGUGAUUCCGUCAGUAGUGGCGAGCGAAAGCGGAAGAGCCUAAACCAGAGAAACUUGUUUCUCUGGGGUUGUGGGAGCCCGACGUGGGAGGAUGAAAGCGAGCUGAACAGUCUUGAAAGGCUGGCCAUAGACCGUGAAAGCCGGGUCAGCGAAGUGGACAAACCCCUAGGGAAUUCCCAAGUAACGCGAUGCACGUGAAACUUCGCGUGAAUCUGUCCAGACCACUGGAUAAGGCUAAAUACUCCUUGGCAACCGAUAGUGAACUAGUACCGCGAGGGAAAGGCGAAAAGAACCCCUGCUAGGGGAGUGAAAUAGAUCCUGCAACCCUCUGCCUACAAUGUGUCGGAGCACCGCAAGGUGUGACGGCCUGCCUUUUGCAUAAUGAGUCUGCGAGUUAUUGUCAGUGGCCAGCGUUAGCCUUUCUGAGGUGGACGCGAAGCGAAAGCGAGUACGAAAUGUGCGUUUAGUCGCUGGCAAUAGACCCGAAGCGGAGGUGAUCUACUCUUGAGCAGGUUGAAACCCAGGUAACACUGUGUGGAGGACCGAACUCGUGGAUGUUGAAAAAUCCUGAGAUGACUUGAGAGUAGGAGCGAAAGACUAAUCAAACCCCGUGAUAGCUGGUUCUCUCCGAAAUCGCUUGAGGGCGAGCGUCGAGCAAGUAAACCGUGGAGGUAGAGCACUGGAUGGCUUAGGGUCCACACCAGGAUGCCAAAACCAAUCAAACUCCGAAUUCCACGGGAUCCAAUACCUCGGCAGUCAGACGGUGGGGGAUAAGCUCCAUCGUCGAAAGGGCAACAGUCCAGCCCGCCGGCUAAGGUGCCUAAACGUUGUUAAGUGGAAAGGAUGUGAAGUUACUUAGACAGUGAGGAUGUUGGCUUAGAGGCAGCCAUCAUUUAAACAGUGCGUAAUAGCUGACUCAUCGAGUGAUUUCGCGCCGAAAAUGAUUGGCGAUAAAUGACGUACCGAAGCCGCGGAUAGCAAGUUGGUUCGCCAGCUUGUUGUGGUAGGAGAGCGUGACCGGUGCAGCGAAGCAGAACCGAAAGGGGACGUGGAGCGCCGGUCAGUGAGAAUGCAGACACGAGUAGCGAUAAACCAGAUGAGAAUUCUGGUCGCCGUAAACCCAAGGUUUCCUGGGCCAGGUUCGUCCUCCCAGGGUCAGUCGGGAGCUAAGAUGAGGUCGUAAGACGUAAUCGAUGCACAGCUGGUCAACAUUCCAGCACCGAUGUGGUUCAAACCGACAGUGACGCAAGGAGAAAAGUGGCAGGGUCAUUGAAAGACCCAGCUUAGGGGCAACCCGAAGCAAGUCACCGGACAACUUGUCUAGAAAAGCUGUCGGCCCUUUACCACAUUGCCCGUACCGCAAACCGACACAGGUGGGUGGGUGUAAAUGCACCAAGGCGCGCGAGAGAGACCUCUCUAAGGAACUCGGCACAUUAGCCCCGUAACUUCGGGAAAAGGGGUGCUCGCUUCGGCGAGCCACAGUAAAUUGCGUUUAGCGACUGUUUAACAAAAACACAGCACUCUGCCACGUCGUUAAGACAACGUAUAGGGUGUGACAAGUGACCAAUGCGGAAAGAUCAAGGCAAGUUGUUAGCCGCAAGGCGAAGCUCCGAACCUAAGUCCCCGUGAAUGUCGGCCGUAACUAUAACGGUCCUAAGGUAGCGAAAUUCCUUGUCGGGUAAGUUCCGACCUGCACGAAUCUUGUAACGACUGAACGACUGUCUCGGAGAGGUUCUCGGCGAAACUGUAGUUGCGGUGAAGAUGCCGCAUGCCCGCAGUAGGACGGAAAGACCCUAUGCACCUUUACUGUAAGCUCGUAUUGGCUUCUGGUUGAUAAUGCUUAGCGUAGGUGGGAGACGUUGAAGGCAUGGCUUCGGUUGUGUCUGAGUCGAAAUGUGAAACACCACUCUUUGUCAAUUAGGAGUCUAACCUCGAUCCCGUUAGCCGGGCGGGGGACAGUGCGUGCGGGUCAGUUUGGCUGGGGCGGCUUCCUCCCAAAUGGUAACGGAGGAGCGCGAAGCUGGGCUCAGCAUGGUUGGCAACCAUGCGUCGAGCGUAUGGGUAAAAGCCCGGUUAACUGCGAGACCAACAAGUCAAGCAGAUGCGGAAGCAGGCCCAAAUGAUCCAAUGGUAUCGUGACUGGGAAACAGAUCGGAAGAGCACACGUCUGAACUCCAGUCACCUGAAGCUAUCUCGUAUGCCGUCUUC